rnacentral:rRNA from 1 species
UACCUGCAGCCCAAGUGGUGCUCGUUAUUAUUGGGUCUAAAACGUCCGUAGUCGGCUGAGUAGAUGCCCGGGUAAAAUCGCAGCGCUCAACGUUGCGAAUUCCGGGUAGACCGCUCGGCUAGGGAGUGGGAGAGGUGCGAGGUACUCUGAGGGUAGGGGUAAAAUCCUGUAAUCCUUGGGGGACCACCAGUGGCGAAGGCGCGCACU